AGCACCGAAGAUCCCAGCAUGGCUGCAGUGCAGUGAGAAAGCAGAUAUGAUUGGUGACUUUCAUAAAAGCUAUUAGAUUGGUGGAAAUUAAAGCAUCACUGGAGUUUUCUAGAGAAAACUUGAGAAGUAAAAGUGGAAUACAUUUAAAGAAGGCCAGAUAACAUGGGAAGAAAUGCCAGAUAUUGGUGACGAGGGGAUGGAGACAGCAAACCACCUUGCCAUUUCCCAGCACAAGAGCUUUCUAAAGCCUUACGAAUUUCCUGAGUGAUAGAGGUAAGAGAAGCAAGCAUCUUUAGUCAUUCAUCAUAAGUCUCUUUCAACCAUACUGGGUUUAUGCUAAGGAAAUCACUCGGUG
rnacentral:lncRNA from 1 species